rnacentral:rRNA from 1 species
GAUCAUGGCUCAGGAUGAACGCUAGCGGCAGGCUUAACACAUGCAAGUCGAGGGGCGAGCGGGAUGUAAGCAAUACAUUGCCGGCGACCGGCGGAUGGGUGCGUAACGCGUAUGCAACCUACCUUAUACAGGGGAAUGACCUUUCGAAAGGGAGACUAACACCCCAUAGUAUUGAUUUAAGGCAUCUUAGAUUAAUUAAAUAUUUAUAGGUAUAAGAUGGGCAUGCGUAUGAUUAGCUAGUUGGUAAGGUAACGGCUUACCAAGGCGACGAUCAUUAGGGGUUCUGAGAGGAAGGUCCCCCCACACUGGUACUGAGACACGGACCAGACUCCUACGGGAGGCAGCAGUGAGGAAUAUUGGUCAAUGGGCGCAAGCCUGAACCAGCCAUGCCGCGUGCAGGGAAAGACGGCCUUAUGGGUUGUAAACUGCUUUUACAUAAGACUAACCGUAUAUUUGCGAAUAUACCUGAAUGUAUUAUGAGAAUAAGGAUCGGCUAACUCCGUGCCAGCCGCUGC